rnacentral:rRNA from 1 species
GACGAACGCUGGCGGCGUGCUUAACACAUGCAAGUCGAACGGACAGGCCCUGCUUUUGUGGGGUGCUCGAGUGGCGAACGGGUGAGUAACACGCGAGUAUCCUGCCCUUGACUUUGGGAUAACUUCAGGAAGCACGGGCUAUUACCGGAUAGGAGCUCCUGCAGCAUGGUGGGGAUUGGUAAGUUUCGGCGGUUGGGGAUGGAAUAGCGGCUUAUCCGCUUGUUGGUGGAGUAGUGGCUGACCAAGGCUUUGAAGGGUAGCCGGCCUGAGAGGGUGACCGGCGACAAGGGGACUGAGAGACGGCGCAGACUCCUACGGUAGGCAGCAGUGGGGAAUAUUGCACAAUGGGCGGAAGUCUGAGGCAGCAACGCCGCGUGCGUGAUGACCUCUUUCGGGGUGUAAACCGCUUUCUCCUGUGACGAAGCGUGAGUGACGGUAAUGGGUAAAGAAGCACCGGCUAACUACGUG